rnacentral:lncRNA from 1 species
UAUAGAGUUGAGCUAGAAUGCUAUCGAUAGCAAACCGGCACUUUUGCCACCCAUUUGUUUUCGAUGAUGGAGCCUCCAAAUCGACGAUCAGUACCGUUGAACAUGAUCUAUACUACUUGAAGUAUUUAGAAAUAAAAUUUCAAAUUUUUUCGACAUUAUUUGCCUCAUGAUCAAAGGGUUUCAAAAUUUGUAAUUUUAAUGGUCGAUAUGAGACGUUUUCUCGUUUAACGGCGUAAAGAUAUCCAAAUCAAUUGAAUUUUUGUUAGAAAAUUCUUUAAACUAUUUAAAACAAGAUCUAUACUCUUGAUCUUGAUUACAAGACUCCUAUCAUCAUUUUUUUAAGAAUACUCAUUUUCAGCCGUUCAUUUUUGUGUCCACUCGAUGGAUAAGAGAGCAAUAUCUAAAAUGUAUGAAAUUUAAUUUCUAAAUACUUCAAAUGGUAUAGAUCAUGUUCAACGGUGCCGAUCGUCGAUUUGGAGGCUCCAUCAUCGAAAACAAAUGGGUGGCAAAAGUGCCGGUUUGCUAUCGAUAGCAUUCUAUACUACUUGAAGUAUUUAAAAAUCAAAUUUCAAAUCUUUUCGACAUUAUUUGCCUAAUGAUCAAAGAGUUUCAAAAUUUGUAAUUUUAAUGGUCGAUAUGAGGCGUUUUCUCGUUUAACAGCGUAAAGAUAUCCAAAUCAAUUGAAUUUUUGUUAGAAAAUUAUUUAAACUAUUUAAAACAAGAUCUAUACUCUUGAUCUUGAUUACAAGACUCCUAUCAUCAUUUUUUUAAGAAUAUUUAUUUUCAGCCGUUCAUUUUUGUGUCCACUCGAUGGAUAAGACAGCAAUAUCGAAAAUGUAUGAAAUUUAAUUUCUAAAUACUUCAAAUGGUAUAGAUCAUGUUUAACGGUGCCGAUCAUCAAUUUGGCGGCUCCAUUAUCGAAAACAAAUAGGUGGCAAAAGUGCCGGUUUGCUAUCGAUAGUAUUCCAGCUCAACUCUAUAUAUAU